UACAGAGGUCCCAAGCGUUGUUCGGAUUCACUGGGCGUAAAGGGUGCGUAGGUGGUGAGGUAAGUCGGAUGUGAAAGCUCGGAGCUCAACUCCGAAAUGGCAUUGGAAACUACCUUGCUCGAGGGUUGGAGGGGGGACUGGAAUGCUUGGUGUAGCAGUGAAAUGCGUAGAUAUCAAGCGGAACACCAGUGGCGAAGGCGAGUCCCUGGACAACUCCUGACACUGAGGCACGAAAGCUAGAGGAGCAAACAGG
rnacentral:rRNA from 1 species